rnacentral:piRNA from 1 species
UGUCCCGAGAUGUAACAGAUUGACUGA